CCUUAGACUGGUGUCCACCUCCCCCUCCUCCUGGCUCAGCCACGCGCCCGCAUGAAUAGCGGAGUGGAGUGUGGGGGCCAGGUCAGCAGGGUGGGGGUGUGUCUCGUUUCCCUCUUGCCCCCGUGUCUCCAUACCCGCUGCGUCCAGCCGCCCUGCCUGGGUGGAGUGGCCGUGGGCCCAGGCCUAAGAGGAUAUGAGGGUCACUGAGCGGGCGUCGGAGAUCGGAUACGUGCGACCCAGGUGUCGUGGGCUCCUGCCGCGAGGUGGUCCCGUGCGCGCAGUCCCGUGGUCCCGGUGCACCUGCCCAGGCUCCACCUGCCUCGACCUUUGGUGGGAGCACCUCCCUGCCCCCAAGGCUCCCGCGCCACAUCCUGCCCAAAGGUGGGAGCCAGGGGCCACUCUAGCCGGACUGGUGAAGCUCCUCCUCCAAGCGCUCAUGGAACAGUCAGGAAACUGAGGCCAGGAGAGGCAGGGACUGGCCGGGGACCCACCAGGUGAGCAGAGCCUAGAGGGGCUGGGGGAGGUUUCAGGUCCUAGGCCAGGGCUUCACUUUCCCAGGGGGUUUUCGAGGGAAUGAGAGCCUCUAACAUCCUGGAGGACCACUGAACCCAUCCCGUGUGGGGUCCUUUCCUCUGGGCAUCCCCGAGUGGGCACAGGUCCACGCAAUUGCAUGGAAACACAGUCCCCCGCCCCCCAGUAACUAACCACCCGCGUGGGGGUCAAAGGAUGAGUGGACCCUGGAGGUGACAGGGGUUGGGGAAGAGAAGAGGUGUGGGGCGGGGACCUUGUCUCCAGGGAACAUGCCCAUGAGGGGAGCCACGCCAGGCCGAUGGCCAGGGGACCCCCAGAUACCCCCGUGUGUAUCACAGGCACCCCCAUUCUAGAGAAGCACCCCACUCAGCUCCCGUGGUUGGAGACCUUCGAAUGCGCGACGUGUUCUCAUGCUGUGUCCUGAUACCUCGAGGCUGUGGUCUCAGGAAAGCCCACAGGGAGAGCCUUUUCCCACCUGCAGACGGGGGGUCAGGUCUCACCCCCGAAGGCUGUGGUCAUGUGCCCGGAGGGACGCAAAGGUGACACCGGGAGGCCCAGGACUGGCUGGUCUAGCCUGACACUAGCCUGAUCCGACUUAAAUCAACCGAUGAAAUCGGGAAACGUCUGGCCGAAUCCCGAUUCACCUGCCCUACAGAGUUGUGCGUGUGCCCCGUCGCCCAGGAGAGCCACCCUGGACCCGGGGAGAGAGUGGCUGCACAGAGGUUUUGGGAAGCAGGGCCUGGACUUGGCCUGGGAAGGCCUCCUUCAGCGCCCCGGCGCCGCUGUAAGGUCCUCGUUCACUGGUCCUGGGACCGGUACUUGGAGUCCCCGGAGUCAGAGCCCGAGGAGUCCGCCGCAGGAGCAAAAGCCGGGUGGGCUCCAGAGCCCGGCCCAACGGUAUCGGGGGUCUCGGCGUAUCUGCAGGCAGGCGUGGUAUCUGGAGCGACUCCUGCAGGGACCCGGUUGCCAGCAGGCGACCUGGGACCUGUGCGGGGACAGCGGGCACCUGAGCAGAGUCAGCUGGGUCCUGCUUCUGCUGGUUCCACUGUUCCUGCUUCUGCUCCCAACACUGUUCCUGCCAUCGCCCUUCUCCCCGCCCCUGCCACUGCCCUUGCUCCCACAUGGAUGUCGGCCAAAAAUCAAGGGACUGAAGACCUAUACAGGGUGCCUUUGUUAUUUUCUUUUAUUUUUUGUUUAUGAUACUUUAUUUCAAAUUUAUUCUCCAAUCCCUGAGCCCGACCUCCCACCAAAAUGUCUCUUCCUCUUCUCCCUUAUCCUUUUUCUCUUCUACUUUUAGCUGUUAUUUUAUUUAUUCAUUAGUUAUAAUCUAUAUUAAUCUUCAAUAAAAUGUUUUAUUUA